rnacentral:misc_RNA from 1 species
GUGAGUCAUCGAAUCUUUGAACGCACAUUGCGCCUGCCAGCAUUCUGGCAGGCAUGCCUGUCCGAGCGUCAUUUCCACCCUCACGCGCCCUGUUGCGCGUGGUGUUGGGGCUCUGCUCUCCCUGCCCUGGCGCGGGAGAGGCCCUGAAAGCGAGUGGCGGGCCGCCUGGUUGGCUCCGAGCGCAGUAGAAACGCCCUGUUUUUUUCAUCGCUCUGGACGUCGCCGGCGGCGCCUGCCGUCAAAGCGCACAGAUGACGUGCAACUUUUCUCAAAGGUUGACCUCGGAUCAGGUAGGACUACCCGCUGAACUUAAGCAUAUCAAUAAGCGGAGGA